rnacentral:rRNA from 1 species
UUUUUAUGAGAGUUUGAUCCUGGCUCAGGACGAACGCUGGCGGCGUGCCUAAUACAUGCAAGUCGAACGCUUCUUUUUCCACCGGAGCUUGCUCCACCGGAAAAAGAAGAGUGGCGAACGGGUGAGUAACACGUGGGUAACCUGCCCAUCAGAAGGGGAUAACACUUGGAAACAGGUGCUAAUACCGUAUAACAAUCAAAACCGCAUGGUUUUGAUUUGAAAGGCGCUUUCGGGUGUCGCUGAUGGAUGGACCCGCGGUGCAUUAGCUAGUUGGUGAGGUAACGGCUCACCAAGGCCACGAUGCAUAGCCGACCUGAGAGGGUGAUCGGCC